UUAAAAUUCUUGUACAACUUGACGUUUAUCGGUAAUCUAUUAAAGUCAACAGAAACUAAAGUCAUUAUUUUGUCGGAUUCUUAAUGAUAUUUUUUUAAAUGCACACUCCAAUUCCUUUUGGAAACAAAUUUCAAACAAUUGUUAAAAUAGGCUAUAUUAAAUUGUCUUUUGCAACUCGUUCUUUAUCAUAAACUGUUGAUCCUUCUUCAACUUGCCAAUGGUCGUUAAAAAGAGCAAAAUUUCUCGUGUCAUCAUUGAAAAAAAAGUAAGUAAACCGUAAAGCCCGAACACCAUCGUACAAAUAUACA